rnacentral:lncRNA from 1 species
GUUCCCUCAUUUAAUUAGAUAAAUGACUAAUAUUGACUUCCAAUAAUAUAAUAUGAUAUUGCAUCAUAUUAUUAGCAUAUUAUUAUAAUCUUAUUAUCAAUACUUUAAAGAUAUAAUAUUGUAUUAUAAUAUAUAAUAUCUAUAGAAUAUAAUAUAUUAUAGUAAAAUUAAAUUCUUUGUUGCAAUGUCCCUCGUUGAUCGCUCAAUUUGGG